AGCAGCCGCGGUAAUUCCAGCUCCAAUAGCGUAUAUUAAAGUUGUUGCAGUUAAAAAGCUCGUAGUUGAAUUUCGGGAUUGACGUGAUGGUCAUGCCUUAAGGGGUAUGAACUGUUACUGUUGAUUUCUCACCUUCUGGAGAAACUUGAUGUCCUUUAUUGGGUGUCUUGCGGAUCCAGGACCUUUACCUUGAAAAAUUAGAGUGUUUAAAGCAGGCAUUUUUGCUCGAGUACAUUAGCAUGGAAUAAUAGAAUAGGACGGCAUGGUUCUAUUUUGUUGGUUUCUAGGAUCACCGUAAUGAUUAAUAGGGAUAGUUGGGGGCAUUAGUAUUCAAUUGUCAGAGGUGAAAUUCUUGGAUUUAUUGAAGACUAACUACUGCGAAAGCAUUUGCCAAGGAUGUUUUCAUUAAUCAAGAACGAAAGUUAGGGGAUCGAAGACGAUCAGAUACCGUCGUAGUCUUAACCAUAAACUAUGCCGACUAGGAAUCAGACGAUGUUAUUUUUAAUGACUCG
rnacentral:rRNA from 1 species